AAAACUAGCCAGUCUUUUGGGUAUGAAAUCUAUUUGGACGAGAGUAGUACUAGGAUGGGUGACCUCCUGGGAAGUCCUCGUGAAAGGGUUUC
rnacentral:rRNA from 1 species